UGCCCAGCAACUCCUAUCCCUACCUCCUCGUGGCACCAGCCGGAAACUAUGAGCAACCUUAGGGAAAAUCAGGUAACCAAUCCCGGUGGGAACUUUGGUCGUAAAUAUGCUGACAGGGAAGA
rnacentral:ribozyme from 1 species